UUCCCUCUCUCUCCCUCUGACCUCUCUCUUUCUGAGUUUCUGUCACUUCUCUCUCUCUCUCUCUCAUUUCUCUUUCGUCGUUCUUCUUCCUUUCAAUCACACUCGCCAAGUAGCAGCAGCAGCAGGAACUUGCCAAACCCCACCUUACUCCUCUUCCUUCUUCUUCCCCGCCAUUUCCACAUACCUGUGAAGUUUGAUGAAUGGAAGAGAAGAGAAGAACAGAGAAAGCGAAGAAGAAGGAGAAGCUGUAAUGGAAAGUCGUUUUCUGUUAUUACUGUACUGAAUGAAUUAAUUGUACAAACAGAAAGGAGAAUUCUAUUUAUACCACUACUACUAUUAUCUAUUACAACUCACUCACAUACUUAUAAUUUAACACCAUUUAACACCCCCCCACAAACUGGGGAGUAGAUGUUCAAUAUACCCAGUUUGGACAGUAAGAACUGCAUCCUGGGAGCAGCUAAUCCCUUGGUAAAGAUGUCCGCCAGCUGCGUUUCUGUUGACACAUACUUGAGUUGCACUAAUCCUGACUCAAUUCGUUCACGAAUCACGUGACAAUCGAUCUCUAUGUGCUUAGUACGUUCGUGAAAUACAGGAUUGUGUGCAAUGUGGAUUGCUGACUGAUUGUCGCAAUACAGUUGCAUUGGACUAUUGUGAGGAACUCCCAAGUCUGCCAACAGCACCUUCAUCCACUGAACCUCACAACACAACGAUGCAAUUGCCCUGUACUCAGCUUCUGAUGAAGAUCUAGAGACAGUGCUCUGCUUCUUAGUUUUCCAUGAAACCAACGAACUACCUAGAAACAGGCAGUACCCCGUAGUUGAUCUUCUCGUAUCUGGGCAACUUGCCCAAUCUGAAUCACAGUAUCCAUGAACUUCCAGGUUACUAUCUUUCCUGAAGUAUAAACCUUGACCUGGAGACCCUUUCAAAUAUCUAAUGACCUUAUAUGCAGCCUUGAGAUGUGUAUCUGUUGGUUUAGCCUGAAACUGAGCCAGCUGCUGCACUGCAUAACAAAUGUCAGGUCGUGUAAUUGUGAUAUAGUGCAAUCUUCCAAUUAUCUGCCUGUAUUGAGUGAUGUCUUCCAGUGGAUUUCCCUCAUCUGCUUUCAGUUUUUCCUUAUAGUCAAGUGGGGUCUUUGUGGGUUUCCCAUCCAGUAGACCAGCUUCUGAGAUCAUCUCCAGGCAGUAUUUACGUUGACACAUGGAGAUUCCAUUCUUUGUUCUGGCAAUCUCAAGUCCUAGGAAGUAUUUCAAGGGCCCCAUGUCUUUCACCUUAAAGUGUUUCUGCAACUUUCCUUUGAUCUCUUCCAUCAGGGUGAGGUCAUUUCCAGCUAGGAUAAUAUCAUCUACAUAAACCAAUAAUACCAGCAUGGAAUUUCCUGAUGAGUAAUUGAAAAGUGAGUGAUCUGAGUCAGAUUGUUUAAAUCCUUCCUGCUUAAGCGCUUUGGUGAACUUGAUGAACCACAUUCUGCUUGCUUGCUUCAAACCAUACAAGGACUUUUGCAGCUUGCACACCUGUCUUCCAACUCCUUUGGUCUCAUAGCCCUUUGGUAUGUCCAUGUACACUUCCUCAUCCAAGUCUCCAUGAAGGAAUGCAUUGCUCACAUCCAUUUGGUGCAGAUGCCAAUCCUUCACGGCAGCUACAGCAAGCAGUGUUUUCACAGAAGUAAUCUUUGCCACUGGUGAGAACGUGUCUGUGAAAUCCACCCCAUACACUUGUGUGUACCCUUUUGCAACUAAGCGUGCCUUGUAUUUGUCUAUGCUUCCAUCUGGAUUAUACUUGAUCCGGUAUACCCACUUGCAUCCUACGGGCCUUACCCCUGACGGCUUAUCAGUAACUGUCCAUGUCCCAUUUGCCUCGAGAGCUUGCAUUUCCUCCAUCAUGGCUCUCCUCCAGUGGGGAGAUUUGACGGCUUCUUCAAAGGUUUGUGGCUCAGAUUCAAGAGAGAUGGACAAAGAAAAAACUCUGUGAGUUGGUGAAAGGAAAUCAUAACACAGAUACUUAUGCAUGGGAAAAGAUGAGUAUUCUUCAAUAAUAGGUUUUGUUGAACUGAGGAGAGAACAAUGGUAAUCUUCUAGAUAUUUUGGAGGUCUAGUGACUCGUGUUGGUCUUUUGCAGGGGAGAGUAGGAUUAAUGUAGGUAUGAGAUUGAGUAUGUUGAGGGGUAGGUGUGGAAUCUGUGUUGAUGGUCUUUGUUUGGGGAGUUUUUCUUGUGUUUGAAGGUGAUCUGGAAUCUGUAGUGAUGGUGAUGUCUGGUUGAGGAUGGUCACUUGAAUUUGCGGGAGGAAUAUUCAUAUCAACAUCAUCAGGAGGGGAGAGUGAGUCAAGGGUAAUGGGAAUUAUGGACUGGUCUGUAUUGGUGGUAGUUGUUGGGGAUAGAUCAGGCUCUCUAUAGGGAAGGAUCAUUUCAUGAAACACAACAUUCCUGGAAACAAUGACCUUUUGGUUAGCUAAGUCUAAUAGCUUGUAACCUUUUAUCCCAUUCUGGAAACCUAUGAACACACAGGGAGUGGAUCUGGGAGCAAAUUUGGUGCGGUUGUGGGACAAGGUGCUAGCAUAUGAUAGACAGCCAAAGAUACGUAAGUGAUCAUAAGACGGUUUGACAUUAUAUAGAGUUUCAUAUGGGGAAAGGUUAUUAAGAACAGGAGUUGGAAGUCUGUUGAUUAAGUAACAGGCAUGUAAGACACAGUCCCCCCAGAAUCUGAGAGACAAACCACUUUGGAAUCGUAGGGAACGAGCAACAGCUAAGAGAUGCUGAUGUUUGCGUUCAACUCGUCCAUUUUGGGGAGCGAUGGAAACACAACUUUGCUGAUGAAUAAUGCCAUGUGUAGCAAAGAAAGAGUCCAUUUUAAACUCUGCACCCUGAUCAGAUCGAAUGAUCUUAACAGAAACUGAGAAUUGAGUAGAUACCAUAGAACAAAAGGAUUUAACAAUCUCUCGAGUUUCACUUUUAUGUUUCAUGAGAAAUAUCCACACACAACGACUGAAAUCAUCAAGGAUAGUAAGAAAAUAACUAUGACCAUCAUGAGUAGGAGUAUGUAAUGGUCCCCAAAUAUCCAUAUGGACUAAUGAAAAAGGAGAAUCAGCUCUGGAAUGGCUCUUGUUAAAGGGAAGGGUUUUUUGUUUAGCAAGGUGGCAAGUAAUGCAGUGAGAAGAUGAAGGAAGGGUGAUGGAAGGUUGAGCCUGGUGGAUGAGUUGAAGUCUCCCUAGGGAUGGAUGCCCUAGUCUGCAAUGCCAAACAUCCAAAGAAUGAGGGUGAAGGUUAAAGACAGCUGCAGCAGCAAUGUUAGAAGAAAUGAGGGAAACAAAGGCAGUAGUGUGGAUGGCGGGUAAAAGGUAUAAACCUCUACUUUCUUGGGCUAAACCAAUCGUCUUCUGUGAGGGAAGGGCCUGAAUAUGACACUGAUGUGAUGAAAAAGCAACAGAAACAGGUGAUUGUUGCGUGAGGCAGCUAACAGAAAGAAGGUUGAAAGAAAAACAGGGAAUGUAUAACACAUUAUGCAAAGACAGGCCACAUGGCAAUAUUACCAACCCAGAAUGAGUAGCAAGAACACUUUUGCCAGUAGGUAAGGUGACAGGAAUGGGAGAAAUGACAUUCAGAUGAGAGAAUAGGUGAGAUGAACAGGCAAUAUGACUACUAGCUCCUGUAUCCACUAUCCAGUAACUAGAAAGGGGUUGAGAUGUAAGAGUGGAAAGGGAGUAGGUACCUGAUGAUGUAGAUGAUGCAGGAAUGGUGGUGGUGAUUAGGUUGGCAUAAGUGGCUUGGGAUUGAGGCUGUGGCAUGGCUGUUUGCUGGAGGAGUAUUCGAAGUCGUGCAAGCUCUGAGGAGGACAAGGACAUGGACGUAUCUGAUGAACUUUCAGAAGCAGAACGAUAGUCUGGAGUUGAGUAACCAUGGGAAGACUGACAGUCAUUAUCAAGGCUAUGGUGAACAUCACCAGAAGCAGCACCAGCAAAUCGAUUGAAACCAUUUCCACCACCAUUACUCGCUUCACGAGCCUUUUUGUUCUUUAAUUUCAUACAUGUUUCAAUGUUAUGAUUGUCCUUCUUACAAUAUCUACAAAAUAGAGGCUGUUUUUCACCAGAAUCUCUAUUUCUUCCAUUUCCAGCAUAGUUAGUUGCAGCAAGAGCAAUAGAAUCUACAGAUCUAACCACAUUUCCUUUCAUCUGACGUUCCAUCUGAACAGCGAAUUUGAAUGCAGUAUUAAUGUCAGGCAAAGGAUCCAUUAACAGCAACUGAGAUCGUACUACAUCAUAGCUUUCAUUCAAUCCUCGAAUGAAACGGAUCACAUGAUCUUGCUCUUGAUACAGCAGCAUUUUAGAGAUGACUUUGCAAGUCGAAACUCGAUUAGGAUUGCAUUCACACAGAGGAAUUGGUCUAUAUUGAACGUAUUCCUCCCAUAGAACCUUAAGAUUGGUGAAAUACUGAGUAAUCGUUGUCUGACCUUGAUCACAGGAUGCAAUCCGUGAUUGCAAAUCAGCGAUUCGGAUUGCGUCGCACUGGCGGAAUCGUUGAUUGAGAUCGUUCCAAGCAGCUGCUGCAUUAUCAUAAGAAAUAAGACUCUGCGCGAUGUCUUCUGACACAGAGUUCAGAAUCCAGUUCAGAACUGCGAAGUUGCAUCGGAUCCAAGCUUGAUAUGAGGCAUCCUGAACUUCUGGAGCUGGAUAUGAUCCAUCAAUGAAGCUUAGCUUGUUUUUGAUACUCAGGGCUACAUUCAUGGAUCUGCUCCACACAUGAAAGUUAUCAUUUGUCAACUUUACUCCGACGAUCGGAGAUGAGAGAUUAUCGCUGGGAGACAAGAACAACGGAUUCGCGAAGUGAUCGGUGUAGUUUGAAGGAUGAGCAGAACUGAGUGUAGAAAGGAUUGAUGAUGAUUGUGUUGAUGAAGUCAUGACGAAAUCAGCUCAACAAUGGAGGCUCUGAUACCAUGUGAAGUUUGAUGAAUGGAAGAGAAGAGAAGAACAGAGAAAGCGAAGAAGAAGGAGAAGCUGUAAUGGAAAGUCGUUUUCUGUUAUUACUGUACUGAAUGAAUUAAUUGUACAAACAGAAAGGAGAAUUCUAUUUAUACCACUACUACUAUUAUCUAUUACAACUCACUCACAUACUUAUAAUUUAACACCAUUUAACAUACCGCAAUAUCUCCUCCCUACUUUCUUAACCGUUUUCAACAAAUUUCAUGACCGUUGAUUGACCCCCCACCUAUCCACCAAAAACUGCCUGCAUUGCCGCUUAACCCUUCGAUUAUGCUUUGAUCCGGCGCUUUCUCGACUACCCAUUUCUCAAAUUUUUGAUCGCCUUUCAGAUCUGGGUAUUCCGCAAUCUCUAACUAUUUUAAUGGCG
rnacentral:lncRNA from 1 species